rnacentral:rRNA from 1 species
UACGAAGGACCCGAGCGUUAUCCGGAUUUAUUGGGUUUAAAGGGUGCGUAGGCGGAUUAGUAAGUCAGUGGUGAAAGCCCGUCGCUUAACGGCGGAACUGCCAUUGAUACUGCUAGUCUUGAGUAUGGUUGAGGUGAGCGGAAUGUGUCAUGUAGCGGUGAAAUGCUUAGAUAUGACCCAGAACACCAAUUGCGAAGGCAGCUCGCUAAGCCAUAACUGACGCUGAGGCACGAAAGCGUGGGGAGCAAACAGG